CAUGAUGUUUCUGUGCUCUCUGACUGUCUUUAUCAUCAUGCUAAGGAACUGUUCUGCACAGUCAAAAGCACCAGUGCAAAACAAAACACAGGUUCAUGCUCUUGAAGAUGAGACAGUUACUCUCUCCUGCAAGUUUGAGGUUAGUGUGGAGAGUCUGCAGUGGUACCGUCAGUAUCCUGGAUCCAGACCAGAGUUCUUGCUGCUGAAAUUUCCAGGAUCAGCUGAUGUAACCCAUGCAAACCCUCCUUUCCCACGACUGAAUGCUACAGACAGCAACACAAUAAUGAAUCUGAUAAUCUCCUCUGCUGCAGUAUCAGACUCUGCACUCUACUACUGUGCUGUGAAG